rnacentral:rRNA from 1 species
GAUGAACGCUGGCGGCGUGCCUAAUACAUGCAAGUCGAGCGAAGCACUUCGGUGCUUAGCGGCGAACGGGUGAGUAACACGUAGGUAAUCUGCCCUUAAGACGAGGAUAACUAUUGGAAACGAUAGCUAAUACUGGAUAGUAUAUCGAAUCGCAUGAUUUGAUAUUUAAAGAUCCCUCAAAGGAUCACUUAAGGAGGAACCUGCGGCGCAUUAGCUAGUUGGUGAGGUAACGGCUCACCAAGGCGAUGAUGCGUAGCCGGACUGAGAGGUUGAACGGCCACAUUGGGACUGAGACACGGCCCAAACUCCUACGGGAGGCAGCAGUAGGGAAUUUUCGGCAAUGGAGGAAACUCUGACCGAGCAACGCCGCGUGAAUGAUGAAGUAUUUCGGUAUGUAAAAUUCUUUUAUCAGGGAAGAACGUCUUUAGUAGGAAAUGACUAGAGAGUGACGGUACCUGAUGAAUAAGCCCCGGCUAACUACG